AAAAUCUUGGGAAUAAACUGCUUUCCUGGGACAAAUGGUUUCAGUCAGGUGUUUGACCUCGAAUCUUCUGAUAAUCAAAUAUUCUCCAGAGGAAUGGAAAUUGAGGUGAUGACUUCAAAAUCAUGCCCAAUAGGAUUAUGCUGAGGCCCAGGCAAGGAUACAGUUGUGGAAACCAACAUGGUGAUGAUGAUAGCCCCUGGCAGUUCUACUGUGUUUGGUGCUGGAGAAUCCAAGACCUGGAGGCCAUCUUGGAGUGCACAACUAUGUGGAUGUGCUCCUCCAAGUAAUUGCCCAAUGUUAUUCUUAUACCUUGGCCAUCUUCCUGAGAGUGGGGCACUUUACCAACAACUUGCCUAGCACCCAAACUCUCUUUGUGUCUUUCAGUGGAAAGUUCUGCUCAGAGUGGCACCAUUGCAUGCACCAUCAUAGGGAGAAGUGGGUUUUGUCCUGCUCUACAGAAACAAGAGAAUCAAGCUCAUUGAAACAUAAUACAGAUUCUUUAACUCAAGUUGUGAAUGACCAUAGCCUCUGCUGGGUAUUUUCUGAGGAUGCAGGGAACCUGGAUUGGUGAAACUAAGCAAAGAGAUUCCACCAGAUCCAUGCUCCUGGCCCUGGUGGAUCAUCAGUCUUCAGCCUAUAGGACAGAUUCCAUGUGACAAGAUCUGUCCUCAGAGAAAAUCUUGGAAAUAAGCUUCAACCCUGUGACAAAGUGUUUCAGCCAGGUGCCUGGCCUCCAGUCCACUGAAAGUCAGUCUUCAGAACUCUUGUCUCCUAUCUUCACUUGCGUGGAAUGUUCUGCCAACAUUGGUUCCAUGGUACGCACCAUCAUAGGCCUGGGUGAGGCUGGAGAGAGAAGAGCCUUGAGACACUCUCAAGCUGCUGUUAAAUGUGCCCCAAGUGACUCCUCCAAAAGCCAGGAGAAGUGGUUUUUGUCGAGCGUGACAGAAACUGGACAGCCAGGCUCAUGGAAACAUAUUAAAUGUUUCUUUCACUCAAGUUAUGCAUGGUCUUGGCCUCAACUGGGCAUCUUCUGAGAUCCUGGUUUUGUAGAACAUCUUGUGAAUUAGCUUCAGCCUCUGGGACAAAGGAUGUCAACCAGGUGCCUGGCCUUGAGACUGCUGAAAGUCUGAUGGUCUCCAGAACCCUUGUUUCCUCUUUUGUUUUGUGUGGAAAGUUCUGCUCAGGCAUGCAUCAUCAUAGAUUCUGGCCUGGGAGAAGGUCUUUGAAAUAAGCUGCUGUCCAAGUUGCAAAAGGUUUCAACCAGAUGCCUGGCCAUCAAUUCUCUGAAAACCAAAUAAUGUCCAUAACACUGUUCCUUGCUGACUUCUAAUGAGCAUAUGGUUGUCUAUGAAAGGGAUAAUGGAAAGUGGAAGUUUCUUCUCACCCUGGCUGCAUGACAUGCACGAUCAUAGGUCCUCAAACCGAGGCUGGAACACUAGAGCAGUCCCUUGCUUAUCACCCAAUCUCUCUUUGUGCCUUUCAGUGGAACAUUCUGCUCAGCAUGGCUGCAUUGCAUUCACCAUCAUAGGGAGAAGUGGGUUUUGUUCUGCUGUACAGAAAAAAGAGAAUCAGGCUCAUGAAACAUAAUAAAGGUUUCUGUGGCUCAA